CCUCGCGUCGACAUCAGGUUAACCGUUCAAGGUGACGACCGAUUUCAUUACAUCGCAAUGACUUGCGUUGUGGUAAAAUUAUACCGCAAUGAACUGCGAGUGAUGCACAUCUGCGACCCGUGUUAUCAUCAGAUUCGUUCUACCAAGAAAGAGAUUCGCCAGUUUCGAAGAAAAUAGGUUAACUCACCACGUGCAACGAACCGCCUAGAAGAUGUUAAUACAACUACAUUAGACUUCAUUUAUAUUUAGCUAGAUACCUUGAAAUUUCGCAGUCUGACCGAACCAAUCGAC
rnacentral:lncRNA from 1 species